rnacentral:rRNA from 1 species
UACGUAGGGAGCAAGCGUUGUCCGGAAUCAUUGGGCGUAAAGCGCGCGUAGGUGGCCUCAUAAGUCCGCUGUGAAAGUCAAAGGCUCAACCUUUGAAAGCCGGUGGAUACUGUGGGGCUAGAGUACGGAAGAGGCGAGUGGAAUUCCUGGUGUAGCGGUGGAAUGCGCAGAUAUCAGGAGGAACACCAAUAGCGAAGGCAGCUCGCUGGGACGUUACUGACACUGAGGCGCGAAAGCGUGGGGAUCAAACAGG